UGUAAACAUUCUGUGAAAGACAUCUGGAGAAUCAACUGUCACCGUAAGCCCGGAAAAGUCAGAAAAAAAUGUGAAUGUGAAUGCCACUAAGAAAAAUAAAACAAUCUGAAAAUGACAGGACUUUUAGCGUGUGCUGACAUGCAAGCCAUUGAAGGAACGAUUACAUGAACAUUAAAACAAAUGAACUGAUAACAAGACAAGGAUAAUAAGAAAAUAAGCCACUCAGAAGGGCAUUGUAUGGCCAGUAGGCCAUACAGCAGAUUCAGGAUACAGAGGGAGCCACAACAAUGUGUAUAUCUGUGCACCUGUUGCGUGGAUGGUCCCCAAAGGGAACCGGAAGACUGUGGCAAAUCCUUUGGAGCUGGAAAUAGAGGAAGGUUGAACACUGGGAAAGAAAAAUAUUGAUUGUAUAAUUAACUGUGACCUGCAAGAGGAGCAACUGCCAAAAUUGGAUACACAAUAAAUGAACACAGAUGUCAUUCACAAAGAAAGUAAAGUCAUUUAUUCUGGAUUUUGAAGC
rnacentral:lncRNA from 1 species